AGUGAACGCUGGCGGUAGGCCUAACACAUGCAAGUCGAACGGCAGCACAGUAAGAGCUUGCUCUUACGGGUGGCGAGUGGCGGACGGGUGAGGAAUACAUUGGAAUCUACUUUUUCGUGGGGGAUAACGUAGGGAAACUUACGCUAAUACCGCAUACGACCUACGGGUGAAAGCAGGGGAUCUUCGGACCUUGCGCGAUUGAAUGAGCCGAUGUCGGAUUAGCUAGUUGGCGGGGUAAAGGCCCACCAAGGCGACGAUCCGUAGCUGGUCUGAGAGGAUGAUCAGCCACACUGGAACUGAGACACGGUCCAGACUCCUACGGGAGGCAGCAGUGGGGAAUAUUGGACAAUGGGCGCAAGCCUGAUCCAGCCAUACCGCGUGGGUGAAGAAGGCCUUCGGGUUGUAAAGCCCUUUUGUUGGGAAAGAAAAGCAGCAGGUUAAUACCUCGCUGUUCUGACGGUACCCAAAGAAUAAGCACCGGCUAACUUCGUG
rnacentral:rRNA from 1 species